rnacentral:rRNA from 1 species
GUAAGUUUACAGCAAUUAAACUUUAGUGGGCGAACGGGUGAGUAACGCGUAAGCAAUCUGCCCCUAAGACGAGGAUAACAGUUGGAAACUACUGCUAAGACUGGAUAGGAGACAAGAAGGCAUCUUCUUGUUUUUAAAAGACCUAGCAAUAGGUAUGCUUAGGGAGGAGCUUGCGUCACAUUAGUUAGUUGGUGGGGUAAAGGCCUACCAAGACUAUGAUGUGUAGCCGGGCUGAGAGGUUGAACGGCCACAUUGGGACUGAGACACGGCCCAAACUCCUACGGGAGGCAGCAGUAGGGAAUUUUCGGCAAUGGAGGAAACUCUGACCGAGCAACGCCGCGUGAACGAUGAAGUAUUUCGGUACGUAAAGUUCUUUUAUUAGGGAAGAAUAAAUGAUGGAAAAAUCAUUCUGACGGUACCUAAUGAAUAAGCCCCGGCUAACUAUGUGCCAGCAGCCGCGGUAAUACAUAGGGGGCAAGCGUUAUCCGGAAUUAUUGGGCGUAAAGGGUGCGUAGGCGGUUAAAUAAGUUUAUGGUCUAAGUGCAAUGCUCAACAUUGUGAUGCUAUAAAAACUGUUUAGCUAGAGUAAGAUAGAGGCAAGUGGAAUUCCAUGUGUAGUGGUAAAAUGCGUAAAUAUAUGGAGGAACACCAGUAGCGAAGGCGGCUUGCUGGGUCUUUACUGACGCUGAGGCACGAAAGCGUGGGGAGCAAACAGGAUUAGAUACCCUGGUAGUCCACGCCGUAAACGAUGAGUACUAAACGUUGGGUAAAACCAGUUGUUGAAGUUAACACAUUAAGUACUCCGCCUGAGUAGUACGUACGCAAGUAUGAAACUUAAAGGAAUUGACGGGACUCCGCACAAGCGGUGGAUCAUGUUGUUUAAUUCGAAGGUACCCGAAAAACCUCACCAGGUCUUGACAUGCUUCUGCAAAGCUGUAGAAACACAGUGGAGGUUAUCAGUUGCACAGGUGGUGCAUGGUUGUCGUCAGCUCGUGUCGUGAGAUGUUGGGUUAAGUCCCGCAACGAGCGCAACCCUUAUUGUUAGUUACCAGCACGUAAUGGUGGGGACUUUAGCAAGACUGCCAGUGAUAAAUUGGAGGAAGGUGGGGACGACGUCAAAUCAUCAUGCCCCUUAUGACCUGGGCUACAAACGUGAUACAAUGGCUGUUACAAAGGGUAGCUGAAGCGCAAGUUUUUGGCGAAUCUCAAAAAAACAGUCUCAGUUCGGAUUGAAGUCUGCAACUCGACUUCAUGAAGUUGGAAUCGCUAGUAAUCGCGAAUCAGCAUGUCGCGGUGAAUACGUUCUCGGGGUUUGUACACACCGCCCGUCAAACCACGAAAGUUGGCAAUACCCAAAGCCGGCGGCCUAACUUCGCAAGAAGAGGGAACCGUCUAAGGUAGGGUCGAUGAUUGGGGUUAAGUCGUAACAAGGUAUCCCUACCGGAAGGUGGGGAUGGAUCACC